UUCGAACAGUUUACCUAUAGGCAUGGGUGAUAUUGAUAAUGAUUAUCAAUAAUUGUCGAUUAUCGAUAAUCGAUAAUUAUCGACUUUUUUUAUCGAAAAUUAUCAAAAAAUAUCGAUAAUCGAUAAUUAUUGAUAUUUUGAUGAUUAUGAAGAUAUCGAUAAUUCGAUAUAUCGAUAUUUCGG